GGCGGCACGCCUAACCAUGCAAGUCGAACGAAGUAGCAAUACUUAGUGGCAGACGGGUGAGUAACAUGUAGGUAUCUACCCUUUGGCCUGGAAUAACACGAGGAAACUUGUGCUAAUACCGGAUAAGUCUUUACGGAGAAAGCUUUAUGCACCAUUGGAUGAGCCUGCACUUGAUUAGUUUGUUGGUGGGGUAAUGGCCUACCAAGACUGUGAUCAAUAGCUGAUUUGAGAGGAUGAUCAGCCACAUUGGGACUGAGACACGGCCCAAACUCCUACGGGAGGCAGCAGUGGGGAAUCUUGCACAAUGGAGGAAACUCUGAUGCAGCGAUGCCGCGUGAGUGAAGAAGGCCUUUGGGUUGUAAAGCUCUUUCGUCGGGGAAGAAAAUGACUGUACCCGAAUAAGAAGGUCCGGCUAACUUCGUGCCAGCAGCCGCGGUAAUACGAAGGGACCUAGCGUAGUUCGGAAUUACUGGGCUUAAAGAGUUCGUAGGUGGUUGAAAAAGUUAGUGGUGAAAUCCCAGAGCUUAACUCUG
rnacentral:rRNA from 1 species